rnacentral:rRNA from 1 species
UACGUAGGUGGCGAGCGUUGUCCGGAUUUACUGGGCGUAAAGGGCGUGCAGGCGGUUUGUUAAGUGCAGGGUGAAAGCUCCCGGCUCAACUGGGAGAGGUCCUUGCAUACUGGCGAACUCGAGGGAGGCAGAGGAAAGUGGAAUUCCCGGUGUAGUGGUGAUAUGCGUAGAUAUCGGGAGGAACACCUGUGGCGAAGGCGGCUACCUGGACAGAAACUGACGCUGAGGCGCGAAAGCUAGGGGAGCAAACAGG